CUCUUAACAUGUGUGGAGGAAAUGAGAACCAGUGGACAAAAGCAGGAGUGAGAGAAGGAUAGAGGAGAAAGAAAGUGGGGUAACAGAGCAUGCUGAGAUUAACUCAGCUGGAAUAGUUGUUUGAGAGUCCAGAUGACUGCUUCUGAGAAGCAUAUUUGAGAUCUUCCAAAGCAAUGGCAUAGGUUCAUAACCAGUCGAGUCCAAGACCACCUGAAACAGCUAGACAAGACAAAAGCAACUCAUGCAACUGGAGAUUUCUGUCAAAGGGUCUGCUUUUCCUAUGAGGUGCCAAAAAACAUCAACAAGCACUCCUUCUGAAGACAAUGUAUUUUCUACACGAUUUUAUGGAGGUGGUCCAGGCUGGAGCCUGCUGUGCUCCAAAGAGGAGCCUCUCCAGACAGCCAAUGAAACAGGGUGAUACAGUGUGCUGUAUCUAGUCAGGGAGCAUAGGUACAGACAGUGUCUGAGGCAGAAGGCAAAAUGUGGUCCCUCUUAACAAGACUGGCAGAUGUCACCACUGUAGUUGUUCCUGGAGGAUUUGGAGGUAGGGGCAUGCAAAGCUGCUGAUUUUACAAGUGUAUUUCUGCAGAAGAUCCAGGAUAAGCAGACUUCAAAUGACUAUCAGGAGGCUUUCUCUAGCUGUGCUACAAGAGAAGAUGUGGAAAAUGUUUUCAGUGGAUGAUAAUGUGUGUGUGGGAAAAAAAAACCAAAAAGCAGAAACAGAUGUGGGUUAAGCAGUAGACACAGCAAAAAGGGUUGUAAGGAGCAGAUCAUUAACAACCCACAGUGAUGAUGAGGACACUUUAAUAAAUCCAUUCAGGGAGGAUUACUGCUGUUAGGA
rnacentral:lncRNA from 14 species